rnacentral:rRNA from 1 species
GAUGAACGCUGGCGGCGUGCCUAAUACAUGCAAGUCGAGCGAACAGAUGAGGAGCUUGCUCCUCUGACGUUAGCGGCGGACGGGUGAGUAACACGUGGAUAACCUACCUAUAAGACUGGGAUAACUUCGGGAAACCGGAGCUAAUACCGGAUAAUAUAUUGAACCGCAUGGUUCAAUAGUGAAAGACGGUUUUGCUGUCACUUAUAGAUGGAUCCGCGCCGCAUUAGCUAGUUGGUAAGGUAACGCCUUACCAAGGCAACGAUGCGUAGCCGACCUGAGAGGGUGAUCGGCCACACUGGAACUGAGACACGGUCCAGACUCCUACGGGAGGCAGCAGUAGGGAAUCUUCCGCAAUGGGCGAAAGCCUGACGGAGCAACGCCGCGUGAGUGAUGAAGGUCUUCGGAUCGUAAAACUGUGUUAUUAGGGAAGAACAAAUGUGUAAGUAACUAUGCACGUCUUGACGGUACCUAAUCAGAAAGCCACGGCUAACUACGUG